AUUAAUAGAUACAGUCUUUAAAUUUGAAGAAUUUGGCGGUGAUUUAAUCUUAUUAGAGGAAUCUGUUUUUGAAUCGAUAAACCACGUAAAAUUUCACUCACUUUAGUUUAGCUUGUAUACCGUCAUUAUCAGAUGAUUUUUAAAGGAAUAGUGAAAUCAUUAAAGUUUAUAGACUGAAUAAAUUAAAUUAGAUCAAGGUGUAGCCUAUAGGUGAGUUAAAAUGGAUUACAAUAAAGCAUAUUUAAUACGAAAUAGUUGCAGGAAGAGUACUGUGAAGGAGGAUUUAAUUGUAAUAAGAGUUUAACAAGUUCUUAAGAUAUAGGCGCUAAAUUAU
rnacentral:rRNA from 1 species